UUCGGCAGAGAGAGAGGCAGUGGGAUUAAGAGAGGAAGAGAGAUAAAUCGCGAGAGAAAGUGAGAGCAAGAUCGGGAGAUCGAAAGAGAGAGACGAAGCAACUAGAGCAAGCACGAAAGCUCGCGGCAGCCAUGGCCGCGAGCGGGAGGCCACGGCCGCUACAGUGUUCGGCAGCAGUCGCGACGGAGGGCGGCAAGGGAGGCUGGGAGGCGGCAGGAAGCUGCAAGCUGCGGCCAUGGCAGCCAUGGCCGCGAGCUCCAGCUGCGGCAGGGCUGCACUAGCCACGGCCAACAAUGGCCGCGAGCAGCUCCGAGCGACGACGGCUGUCUUGGCAGUUGCAGGUGGGCGCGGGAGGAAGAAACAGAGGAAGAGGAAGAAGGAGGGAGAAAGAAGAAAAGAAAAAGAAAAAAAAAAGAAAAGAAAAGAAAAGAAAGAAAAGAAAAGAAAAUAAGAAAAAUGAUGGGAAAAAUUUUAGAAAAAUUCUGAAAAAUAGAAAAUUAUGUUACGGUGAUAUCCCAGAGAUUUUGGUGAGAAAAACGGUUCGGGCACGCUUUUUGAGAAUAUGGCCCACAUAUCGAGGAAACUUGAAAUGCUGAGUUAAGGAUGCUUUAAGGUUGAAAUUAAAGAGACUCGUGCAAAUUUUGAGGAUGGCACGCAAAUCGAGGCAAGGCACGGAUUUCGAGGUAGCCCGAUAAGCUCUAGAAGGUAAGUAGUACUUCCUCGAAAAUGUUUUCAUCAUAUCGACAUGCCCUAAUAUGUAUCUAUCACGUAGAAUGCAUACAUGACUAUGAAAUGUAUGAAUAUACGUUGAUAUCAUUAAUCACACGCAUAUGAGGCCGUAUGGAGUACGAAUUGGCACUGCUGCCUUACCAAGAGUGCACCCAUACACCCCAGCUUCGAAAGAGGUGGCCGCUAAAAUGGUAGGUAGCAUGAGGGAUGCAGUUGACACCUACGAUGAAAGACAUUGCAUACACUCAUGACAUAGCAUUAUGUACCCUUACUUAGAUGGUUCAUCAUCUAACUUGGGUUCGCCUCUGGAACAUUCAACGUUCCAGUCGGGACUUGCAGAAAUGAUUUCGAGAUUGGUGAGAUGUAGUGACGCGAGACGUCGAGAGGCGAGUAAAUGUACCAUGUUAUGUUGUAAUAUGAGUAGUUUAAGAAUUAUGUACAUUGUAUUUAUUGUCAGACGCUUAUGAAUUAACUUUGUAAUGAAUGUCAUGUCUAGUAUGAGCAGGUUCGAUUCAACUUCCGCUUUGUAAAUCGUAUUUAUCUCUGGUGUGUAAAUUAAACACUAGAUAGGGCUUAGGGAAUUUUGGGAUAAUGUAAAGAUAAAAUAAUAAUAAUAAUAAUAAGACCCAUUUUUCUUAAGGUAUAACACGCCCGAGAAAGUGGGCUGUUACAGUUGGUAUCAAAGCUUAAGAUUAUUAGAAGCCCUAAGUGACUCAGAUGUGGUUGAUAUCGAAGUAAACCCUAUUGGAAGAUUAGGGAAUAACAAUUUUGAGACUUAAGAGGAUCCAAUAUUAAUAGUACCGUUAGUAGAAACCCCUAAGUGAGGUUUAAGGGAAAGAAAUUAAUGGUUCGUAAGACGAAAUCCCUGCUUGGAGAAUCGAGGGUUUUCGGUUGAAGGCUUAGAGGUUAUUGGAUUUAAGUGUUGAGUAAUGGAAGUACAUGUCUAGGCAAGUUCUGGCUAAGGAAAGACUUGGUAUUUAAGUGUGUCCAUUUGUGACCCACCUCUCUUUCCUGGGAAUUUACCUUGUUUACUAUUCACAUACAAACAUUAUUCCAGUAUACGAUUACUAUUCUCGAUGAAUAAGAAAAGCCUGAUGGACGCUAGUACAAUGAUCUAUCUAUUGAAGUUAGGAUCCGAUGAUAUGAUUCGGGUGUAAGGUUGAUUCGGUAACCAUGAUUAGAGAUCCGAGAGAAGUAGAGAUUGUUGAUUUGAGGUCAUUAGUCGAAAUCAUUGCGAUAAAUAAUAGGAUAGCUGGUAGUUAUCAAAAAUGAUUAAAUCAUGGGCGAUUAGUCUGAUAUGACAUAGCGUAGAUGUUAAGUUAGGAUCGAAUGAUAAGUAUUUUGAAGAUCGUUUAAUAUUCGGAAAUAGGAUAUAUAGAUCAGAGAUCCAGCGGUUUAAGUCAAGCAAGAGGCCGAAGAUGGUCAAAUGAUGGCAUAUGAGUUGUGUUAAUUAAUGAGCUGGCAGUGGUGUAACCGAUGUGACAAGUAGAGAUGGGUUAAGGAACUUUAGCAGCGUGAUAGCACUACUGGUUCUGUGUUCGCAGUGACAGAUCUGGAUUUAGGGACCCACGUGCAAAUGGCUGAUGAAUGGCUUGCGAUAAGAUACAGGAAGCCCGUCGAUCGAAGCAUCAUAGUAAACUGCUUGGGAGACAAUCAGAUGUUGAAGAUCUAGGGCAACCCAGUAGGGUCUGUACCUUGUAAGAGUCUAAGCCCCAAUGGUCUAAGAGCGAAGUGUACCACUAGCUGUGAUUGAUUGAGGCCAAAGAAUCAACUCGAAUGAAAUGGAUUGAAUAUGAAUCAAGUGUCGUAUUUAAAGAAUUGUAUCGGGGUUCGCAGUCAUCGUGGGAGUGGGUGACAUGACGAACAGUGCAAGGCUCGAGGAAUAGAAUACCUCGGUAUCUAGUAUGAUAAUAGGGUCAUGAAUGGUCGUGUGCCAAUAGCCAGCUGAUCAAAAUGCGAGAGUCAAUGAAAUUCUCGGUACACGAGACUAUGACCAGUUCAAGGCCUUGGCGAUAAAUAGUGAGAUAGCAACAUUGGUUCGAGUAGAGUUCAGGUAUCCAAAAAAAAAAAAUGAAAGAGUUUCUUAAUAGGUCGUAUCGACCCUAAUGAUAAAGAGACCUAACCAACAGAGGUUGUGACUACGGUUCGAUGUGCCAAGUGGACUUGAGGAUUCGAAAGUCUAUAAGAGAAGACUUGCGAAUAAGUUAUGCCUUAUGUAUCGGUAUGUGGACCUAUAUCGUUAUUUGAGGUUUAAAGUAUCAUUCGGUAAAGAGUUCUUGCGAGUAUAAGGUUCGGUUGUUUUAAUAAUUAGAACCAGGUAACGUGAUCUGAGUAGAGAUCUUCAAAGAUGAAUCGAUUUCAGAUUUUCGAGGAAUUUCCCCUAAGGGAUGAGAAUCUAAGGAUUUGUGAUGAGACUUUAAAGUUUUUCAAAAAAAAAAAAAAAUCCAGCAAGGAUUGGAGUGCCGUAUGUGACGAAGGUACCUGCCUGCUCUAACUGGUAGUAUAAUUAUGGAUUGUUAUCUAGAAGAUUGUGCGAAUCUUAGAUGUGAUAAAGGGAAUCAAGUGAUAACAGAUGUGCCAGGAUGACGGGUUGCGAUAGGAAAUGCUGCAGGCCUAGAUCGAUUUGAAAUUCAAGAUUUCGAUUUUGGAGAAUGAAACCCUCGUAUGACUAGAUGGUCAGUCUAGGUAGCCCUGAUAGGCAAAUCGGGAGAUAUAUAGCUGAGUUAUGUUAGCAAGUUAUGGUUAUAAGGAGCCUAUUGAUUUGUGGCACUGGCAUUUGCGGUUAGUAAAAAGUUGUAAAAAAAAAAAAAAAAACCAAAAGAUAGUCUCAGAAGGUUUUUCAGAUUUAUUUUAAUGAUGAAAUUGUCAAUAAUAGAUUGAGGUUAUUAGAUGCUUAGCUAUGAGUGGUUUGAUGGAGAACGUAAAUUAUCGGGGUUUGAAAAAUGUGAUAAUUAAGAGUCGAUAUCUUUACCUCGAACUUGAUGAAUUAUUAAACAGGUACAAGAGGUUAUGAUAUUUUCUAGGAUUGAUAAACGAUCGAGAAGUAAAGUAGACCCUUGUAAUGUUAAGGUUACGUGUGACGCUCCUCAAUUGUGAUGCUUGAGAGUAAAUGGUCCUAAGAUUUUGGUUCGAUGAUAAUGAUGUCAUAGAUUGAGUGGACUAAAAGGCUAAAAUAGUACGAAUAAAGUUAAUAGGACUAUUACCAGGAUAAGUAGACAAUAGAGUCGAUGAUCAAAUCUAGAGGUUGUGAGUUGGUAAGUGAACUUGUGCUACGGUUGAUUGGACGUCAAGAGAACCGAUGGUUAGAUGCGAAGAAAGCAAUCAGACGAUUUUUGUACGAUAAAGUGUGGUUGGCAUAAGAUGGUGUCUUAAGGAUAAAGCUAGUUGAUAUGAGACGUUAUUACUCGAGGAUUAAUUCAAGCAAAUUUGAGGAUCAAAUGAUUAAUCGUAUAUGAAAUGUUAUUUGAGGAUCACUUCGAAAAGUGCGAGGAGUUAUGGAUGAAUGGGUUUUGGUUGGCGACUAAGUAACAAGGAGCAGGCGGUGUAAGGAUAUUAGUAUUAUUAGAUUUGGAAGAAAACGUUAAAUUUCGGUGGAUAUUAAAAGUUAGAAAGGAAGAUUUGGAGACAGAUAGAAUCUAUUAAUUUCUUAAUGAGAUAGUUAUGUGACUUGACUAGAAAAUGAUUAUGGUCAAUUGUCAAAAACUUGAGAUUAUAUCAGGAGAUGAAUACCUACAAGAAUGAGGAAACAACAAAAAUCUCGAAUAGAUUAGCAUAAGUAAAGAUUAAGCAACGAUUAAGUUUGUGAUGACUUAAGGAGAGACAUAGCUAGUUUCGAGGACAUGUGAUAACCGAGAUGAUAUGAUAAGACCACUGACUUGUUAUAGCAAUCUGGAAGCCUAUGAAACAACCUCGUGAUGACAAGAUAUGGAUGUUUGAGGAUUUAAAGAUGCAUGAUAUAAUAAUAAAAAAAAAUGAGGAUCGAUUCUAUAAAAGUCAAGAUGUAUCGAGGUCAGGGACUGUUGUGCUAAGGUUGGAACAUUAUCAAACCAUGAUUAAUUAGUUCAAGAGAAUUAACGUCGUAAAAAAAAAAAAAUCGAUAAUAGAGAAGUGACAAGAAUAAGGAUAUCGACUAGAUGACUCAGUGAAAAGCAAAUUGAAAAUUGAGGAUGUGGAUAUGAGAGCCGUGGAUUCAUUAUAAUGAUGUGAGUAUCGGCAUGGAUGGGAGUUUAGGUUAAGGCUCAUGGUCCAAGAACCGAGUUAUGCAGUUGUGAUUUGAAAGGUAUGCAUGGUUGACAAGUGUACUUGUCUAAGAAUUGAUAAGUGUGGUUAGCCCAAGAAUUCUAAUUUCAAGGUUUAGAAUGUGGUAAAUUUCGAGGACAAAAUUUUUGUAAGGAGGGGAGAAUGUAAUACCCCAUGAUUAGAUAAGGUUGCCACGUAAUUUUAAUAAGUUUAGAACACUGAAAAAUUGAUUUUAUAGCAAUUUUAGGUACCGAAUCAACUGCCGGGAAUGCCUCGGAGUGAAAUUAUCUAAAGAAAAUUAUAUAGCCUCGAAAAGCGUAUCGAGUUAUGAUUUAUGGUAUCAAAAGAAAUCGGAUCGGGAACAGUUUUCGGUACAGAUAAAAUACAGCUGCUAAUUAGGCUGUAAAACCGAAUUGUCGUAGGAGACUCCCAAAAAAUCAACGGAACCUUAGGGGGGCUCCGAUUUUGUUUAACGAGCAACCCUUCAAUGGUCUUGGGAUGAAACGACAACCCGAUGAGGACAAUGGGGCAAAAUCGUCCAAAUCGAGUACCUUUAAAGUUAUUAAUUUUGCGUUUUCUGUAUCGAAAUACAAUUUUAUUCAGUGUUUGAGGGUAUAAUUGAAAUUACGGAGUUGCCCAAGUGAUAUAAGAUGAAAAUCAGAAUUUAAUGGUGUAAUUUCUUAAAAAUAGUAAUAUAAUAUAUAGUGUACAUAUGUAUAUAUAAAUACGAGCGUGCAUCUGUAACUUAACAUGCCCUGCAACACGCUGCUUCAAGCCAUGACCUGCAACAUUUGGAUGAAUUUGCACGCAAUAGGUGACGUGUGGCGGCAAAUUGAGUAUGCCAUACGCAUGGAGAGUCCGCGUUGCCUAUAAAUAGCAAGCAAAUGAAGAAGAAAUGGCAAUGAGCCUCAGAACUUCGGCCGAGAGAGAGGCAGUGGGAUUAAGAGAGGAAGAGAGAUAAAUCGCGAGAGAGAGUGAGAGCAAGAUCGGGAGAUCGAAAGAGAGAGCCGAAGCAACUAGAGCAAGCGCGAAAGCUCGCGGCAGCCAUGGCCGCGAGCUUCCAGCAAGCUCGAGCGGCCAUGGCCGCGAGCGGGAGGCCACGGCUGCUAUAGUGUUUGGCAGCAGUCGCGACGGAGAGCGGCGAGGGAGGCUGGGAGGCGGCAGGAAGCUGCAAGCCGCUGCCAUGGCCGCGAGCUCCAGCUGCGGCAGGGCUGCACCAGCCACGGCCAACAAUGGCCGCGAGCAGCUCCCAGCGACGGCGGCUGUCUCGGCAGUUGCAGGCGGGCGCGGGAGGAAGAAACAGAGGAAGAGGAAGAAGGAGGGAGAAAGAGAAAAAAAAAAAAGAAAAGAAAAGAAAAGAAAGAAAAGAAAAGAAAAUAAGAAAAAUGAUGGGAAAAAUUUUAGAAAAAUUCUGAAAAAUAGAAAAUUAUGUUACGGUGAUAUCCCAGAGAUUUUGGUGAGAAAAACGGCUCGGGCACGCUUUUUGAGAAUAUGGCACGCAUAUCGAGGAAACUGGAAAUGCUGAGUUAAGGAUGCUUUAAGGUUGAAAUUAAAGAGACUCAUGCAAAUUUUGAGGAUGGCACGCAAAUCGAGGCAAGGCACGGAUUUCGAGGUAGCCCGAUAAGCUCUAGAAGGUAAGAGUAAAGCUAAAGUAGAGAGCGAGCCAAGAGAAUCAGGAUUCAUGGGAUAGCGGUGUGUACAGAGCCGUCUCAACCAAAGGUUCUUGGGGGUGUUUUGGGUGCAUAAAAAUUAAGUCAUGCAUGUUUAUGUUUCAGGUAAGACUCAAGGGGAUAUGGUGGAUUUAUGAGCCCUGAUGUGAUGUGUAAUAUUAAGUUAUUUUUUUUGAGUAAGUGGGCACCAUUAUGUUGUAUAUGAGUAAUAAUCUAUUAGUAUGGUCUCCGUUGUCAAUAGGGGCGUGAAAUGUUCUAAUGGGUUCUGACUUUUAUGUCAUUUUGUUGUGGGUCCCUGGCGAGAGGCCUCUACAAUACAUAUAUAUAUAUAUUUGUAGUACUGUGCGAA